UGGGGAAUAUUGCACAAUGGGCGCAAGCCUGAUGCAGCCAUGCCGCGUGUGUGAAGAAGGCCUUCGGGUUGUAAAGCACUUUCAGCGAGGAGGAAGGUGGUGAACUUAAUACGUUCAUCAAUUGACGUUACUCGCAGAAGAAGCACCGGCUAACUCCGUGCCAGCAGCCGCGGUAAUACGGAGGGUGCAAGCGUUAAUCGGAAUUACUGGGCGUAAAGCGCACGCAGGCGGUUUGUUAAGUCAGAUGUGAAAUCCCCGGGCUCAACCUGGGAACUGCAUUUGAAACUGGCAAGCUAGAGUCUCGUAGAGGGGGUAGAAUUCCAGGUGUAGCGGUGAAAUGCGUAGAGAUCUGGAGGAAUACCGGUGGCGAAGGCGGCCCCCUGGACGAAGACUGACGCUCAGGUGCGAAAGCGUGGAGNGCAAACAGGAUUAGAUACCCUGGUAGUCCACGCUGUAAAACGAUGUCGAUUUUGGAGGUUGUGCCCCUUGAGGCGUGGNUUCCGGAGCUAACGCGUUAAAUCGA
rnacentral:rRNA from 1 species